AGAGUUUGAUCCUGGCUCAGGAUGAACGCUAGCGGGAGGCUUAAUACAUGCAAGUCGCACGGCAGCAUUGAUAUAGUAAUAUAUUAGAUGGCGAGUGGCGCACGGGUGAGUAACGCGUACACAACCUACCCUUAAGAGGGGGAUAACUCAGAGAAAUUUGGGAUAAUACCCCAUAAUAUCGUUUAUAUGCAUAUAUGGAUGAUUAAAGUUCCGGCGCUUAAGGAUGGGUGUGCGUUAGAUUAGGUAGUUGGUGAGGUAACGGCUCACCAUGCCGACGAUCUAUAAGGGGCGUGAGAGCGUGAUCCCUCACACGGAUACUGAGACACAGACCCGACUCCUACGGGAGGCAGCAGUAAGGAAUAUUGGACAAUGCCCGCAAGGGUGAUCCAGCCAUCCCGCGUGCAGGAAGACUGCCCUAUGGGUUGUAAACUGCUUUUAUCAGGGAAGAAACCCCUUGACUUGUUAAGGGUUGACGGUACCUGAUGAAUAAGCACCGGCUAACUCCGUGCCAGCAGCCGCGGUAAUACGGAGAGUGCAAGCGUUAUCCGGAAUCACUGGGUUUAAAGGGUGCGUAGGCGGCUUAAUAAGUCAGAGGUGAAAAACAACAGCUUAACUGUGGCACUGCCUUUGAUACUGUUGAGCUGGAAUCAGGUUGAAGUUAGUGGAAUGCGGCAUGUAGCGGUGAAAUGCAUAGAUAUGUCGUAGAACACCGAUUGCGAAGGCAGCUAACUGGGCUUGAAUUGACGCUGAGGCACGAAAGCGUGGGGAUCGAACAGGAUUAGAUACCCUGGUAGUCCACGCCCUAAACGAUGCUAACUCGAUGUAUGGUUGUAAGAUUGUGCGUCUAAGGGAAACCGUUAAGUUAGCCACCUGGGGAGUACGUUCGCAAGAAUGAAACUCAAAGGAAUUGACGGGGGUCCGCACAAGCGGUGGAGCAUGUGUUUAAUUCGAUGAUACGCGAGGAACCUUACCUGGGCUAUAAUGCGACUGCUAUACUGGGAAACUGGUAGUUCCUUCGGGACGGUCAGCAAGGUGCUGCAUGGUUGUCGUCAGCUCGUGCCGUGAGGUGUUGGGUUAAGUCCCGCAACGAGCGCAACCCCCAUUGUUAGUUACCAUCUCCUGAUUUCAGGAAGGGACUCUAACGAGACUGCCGGCGUAAGCCGAGGGGAAGGUGGGGAUGACGUCAAAUCAUCAUGGCCUUUAUGUCCAGGGCGACACACGUGCUACAAUGGCCGGUACAGAGGGUUGCGACACUGUGAGGUGAAGCUAAUCUCAGAAAGCCGGUCUCAGUUCGGAUUGAAGUCUGAAACUCGACUUCAUGAAGUUGGAAUCGCUAGUAAUCGCGCAUCAGCCAUGGCGCGGUGAAUACGUUCCCGGACCUUGUACACACCGCCCGUCAAGCCAUGGGAGCCGGGGGUACCUGAAGACGGUGACUUAACAGGGAGCUGUCUAGGGUAAAACUGGUAACUGGGGCU
rnacentral:rRNA from 1 species